rnacentral:rRNA from 1 species
GAUGAACGCUGGCGGCGUGCCUAACACAUGCAAGUCGAGCGAUUCUCUUCGGCUAUGAUCGGCGGCCGGGUGAGUAACGCGUGGGUAACCUCCCCUGUACCCACCGAUAACCUACCGAAAGGUAUGCUAAUACUAGACCAUAUACUUUUAUCGCAUGGUAGCAGUAUCAAAGCUUUUGCGGUACAGGAUCGACCCGCGUCUGAUUAGCUAGUUGGUAAGUUAACGGCUUACCAAGGCGACGAUCAGUAGCCGACCUGAGAGGGUGAUCGGCCACAUUGGAACUGAGACACGGACCAAACUCCGACGGGAGGCAGCAGUGGGGAAUAUUGAACAAUGGGCGAAAGCGUGAUGCAGCAACGCCGGGUGAGAGAGGAAGGGCUUCGGGUAGUAAAGUUCUGUCCGCAAGGAAGAGAAUGACGGUACUUGAGGAGGAAGCCCCGGCUAACUACGUG